CUCGCCGUCCCGGGAGAGAGGGAGCAGCGGCCGCUGGAGCGGAGCCGGAGCAGCCCCGUCACCGUCACCGCCGCCACGGGGGCACGGUCCUCCCCUCAGCCUCACGGUGGCGGUGCGGACACCAUGGCGGGGAAGGGAGGGGGCGGCCUGCGCGCCUCCGGGCCUCCCUCGCCCGCCCCUCCCUCCGCGCUGCGGGGAGCCGAGGGCGGCUGCUGGGGGUAGGGGGCGGCCUCGGCCCGAGGGGCUUGGCCCCGCCCCCCGCGCUUCCUGCAGGUGGAGGUGGCCUAGGGAACCGAUCCGAGUCCUGGCUGACCUUGGGCAUGUAGCUUACCCCUCUCUGGGCCUCAGUUUCUUCAUCUGUAGAAUGAACAGAGCCAUGCUGACUGGGUCCACUGCAAAUUUAUGUUACUUAAUCUCUACUGGGUCUUCAUUGAAGCAAGCAAAAGACUGGAAACAAAUUAGAUGCUCAUUGAUUGAGGAAUAGCAAAACAAACUGUGCUACAUGAAUGCAAUGGAAUAUUACUGCACUGUAAGAAAUGACAAAUGUGAUGACUACAAAGAAGUAAUGAAAGAUCUACUUGAAUUGAUGCAGAGUGAAGUAAGCAGAGCCAAGAAAACAAUUUACAUAGAGAACAGCCACAAGAAAAAAAAUCUUAAGUGCUGCAAAAUUAGAACAGGCAUGGUUUGAAAGAAUAAAUGAGACGCUGCUACUGACAGGGUACAGGCACAAGCCUAGACUUUUGCCUCUUACCUCAAAAAGAAUGCGGGUCCCAUUUGUCUACAAGCCCUAGAAAAACACCACCUUGGACUCUCCUUGAACUCCCACUUGAUCAAGGGAGUCUCUAGAGUUCCCAAUGAGGCAUCAUCCCAGUAAUCCUCUCAACUGUCCUUUCAUUGUGACUACACCCAAUCACCUAAUUCUCUGUUACCCUAAAUUUAGCCCAGCCCUUCAUUGUCUGUUACCUCCCAAUGGCCCAGGGCUACUUUCCCACCCUUGAUUCUAUCUAGACCUCCCAGUCACUCCCAUCAAGAUCCUCCCUAGACCCCUUCUCCCAGACCCCCUUCUCUAGUCAUCCCAAAAUACUUGGCCACUCCUAGAGUCCUCCCACACAGUCUUUCUGUAUAUAAUGUCUA